AACGAACGCUGGCGGCAUGCCUAACACAUGCAAGUCGAACGAGCCCUUCGGGUCUAGUGGCGUCCGGGUGCGUAACGCGUGGGAACCUGCCCUUAGGUUCGGCCUAACUCUCCGACUGGGGUGCUAAUACCGGAUAAUGUCUUCGGACCAAUGAUUUAUUGCGUUUGGUUGGGCCAGAGUUGGAUUAGCUAGUGGGUAGGGUAAUAGCCUACCACGGCGCCGAUCCACAACUUGUCAGAGAGGAUGAUCAGCGACACUGAGACUGAGACACGGCCCAGACUCCUACGGGAGGCAGCAGUGGGGAAUAGUGGACAGUGGGCGAAAUCCUGAUCCAGCACGGACGCGUGAGUUAUGAAGGUCUUAGGGUUGUAAAGCGCAUGUACCCGUGAUGAUAAUGACAGUACCGGGAGAAUAAGCCCCGGCUAACUCCGUG
rnacentral:rRNA from 1 species